CAAGUACUCCCUCCGUCCGGAAUUACUUGUCAUCAAAAUGGAUGUGUCUAGAACUAAAAUACAUCUAGAUAUAUCCAUUUCAAUGACAAGUAUUUCCGGACGGAGGGAGUAUAAG
rnacentral:pre_miRNA from 1 species